rnacentral:other from 1 species
GACUCUAGGAGAGUAAGGGCAUCGCCUCCUUCGGUGAAGGACACUCCCUUCUGAUGGAGAAUGGAAACUCCCUUCUUCCUGCAGCAGCCGGCCUGCAGCGGCCCUGGUAGGACGGCGUGGACGCCCUAGGCUGUCACAGCUGCCCGUCGCCCCAGAAGGAGGGUCCCCAGAGCC